GAGUUUGAUCGUGGCUCAGAUUGAACGCUGGCGGCAGGCCUAACACAUGCAAGUCGAGCGGUAGAGAGAAGCUUGCUUCUCUUGAGAGCGGCGGACGGGUGAGUAAUGCCUAGGAAUCUGCCUGGUAGUGGGGGAUAACGCUCGGAAACGGACGCUAAUACCGCAUACGUCCUACGGGAGAAAGCAGGGGACCUUCGGGCCUUGCGCUAUCAGAUGAGCCUAGGUCGGAUUAGCUAGUUGGUGAGGUAAUGGCUCACCAAGGCGACGAUCCGUAACUGGUCUGAGAGGAUGAUCAGUCACACUGGAACUGAGACACGGUCCAGACUCCUACGGGAGGCAGCAGUGGGGAAUAUUGGACAAUGGGCGAAAGCCUGAUCCAGCCAUGCCGCGUGUGUGAAGAAGGUCUUCGGAUUAUAAAGCACUUUAAGUUGGGAGGAAGGGCAAUAAAUUAAUACUUUGCUGUUUUGACGUUACCGACAGAAUAAGCACCGGCUAACUCUGU
rnacentral:rRNA from 1 species